rnacentral:sRNA from 2 species
GAGAACAUCCUUUGAGCUGUCUACUCUCGUGGUGAUCCACAGCCUAUUCCAUCCCACUUCCGCGUCCGCCAUCUCCUUCACCAAAUGCUCACAACUACAUCAGGCUCACACUCAAGUCCGGCGAGCAAACCAUGAGUUCCAUUUGGUAAAGUCAGAUUGAAUAUGGCUCUGCAUCUUGCAAAUUUUCGUAACUGUCAUUGAUGUCUUCAUACUAGACAUACUUAGUCAUCAGAAAUCCUCAUUAAUUGUGGUGAAUAGCACACUCUAUCAUUGCAAGUGUCAUCUAAGAGAAGAGAGCUUCUAGGUGAUGAGAUAUACUUGGGAGAAAAUUCCCAUGAUCAGUGGGAAAAUGAAAAGUUACAUGGGCAAAUUGAUAUCUCAUUUUGAGUUAAGAAGACAAAUGGCAAGGUGAAGAUGAGAUUAGGGAGUAUCAGAAACAGCAGGAAUGGUUUUGUAAGUACGGCGCCAUUGGGUCUUCAUUGGGUCUUCAUUGUUGGGCUUUAUUCAUUUGACACAUGAUUUCAGAAGGAAUUAAAUGAAAAUAUCUUGCUGUUCUAGUUUCAAACCAACUACUGAACUCUUCCAUCCAAGAUGGCACAAUAGUCCCAGUACUAAAUGCAGCUCAGGGAUAUCCUUUUCAAACUGU